UAGGUCUUUCCACAAGGUUGUAAUGGGGCUAGGGUGCAUGGGUAGGAUAAACAAAAGUGGAUAAACAAGGCUAAUAAAACCAACAAAAUGCAAGUAGUUCACCACAUUUUUGAAUCCCAAUAACAAACUCAAUCAAAUCAACCAUCAUUCCCAAUACAUCGGCAUUCAAACUCCAACAUUCUCUUCUUUCUCUUUCAUUUUCAUUUUUNUUUUUGAACUAACAUCAUAAUAUCACCUCAUUCUUAAACAACCAACAACCUCUUUUGUCAAUUUCAAUCCUCAAUCAUUCCAACCAAGCACUAAACUUCAAUCAACCUUAUUCUUC
rnacentral:lncRNA from 1 species